GAGCUAUGAUGAAUUUGGCUUCAGCGUCGGUUGGGUCCUUCGCACACCUCUGAUAUUUGGAUGUGAUACAGUCCCGAAUCUGAGCUC
rfam:Arabis alpina cultivar Pajares chromosome 2, whole genome shotgun sequence.